AUUAUAUUGAAAGAAGAAGAAGACGGCCGAUGGCGGGGAGAACAAGCAGGAGUUUCUGGAAACAAACGUUCAUUUAUUGAAUAUAUAAAAACAGAAAUUAAACAAUCUGCUGCCGCGGAGACACUGAAGCUAGCUUAAGGAGAAGCACCUGGCCGAGAGGUAACGUUAACGACCCUGGGUGAAACAAUGGAUCAGACCUGUUUAAUGUACCUGAGUAUCAUCAUGGUGGAUCUACACAACACCUGGUUAAAGGAACCAAAAAGUGACUCAGUGACUGAAGACGUGAGGAAGGUCUGGACCUCUGGAGCAGUCAGGAGGUAAACCUCUGCUUUCACCCUGAUGUUGGACCUUCAGCAGCUGAUUGGUCGACCCAGUCCCACACAUGGACGGAGCCGUCUGAGGCUGCGGACAGCAGCGUCCGUGAACGUUCGGGGUGCCAGACG